GGUCAAGUUAUUAAGGGUGCAGGGCGGAUGCCUUGGCACUAGGAGCCGAUGAAGGACGUGAUAAGCUGCGAUAAGCUUCGGGGAGUUGCACGUAAACUUUGAUCCGAAGAUUUCCGAAUGAGGAAACUCACUUAGAGUAAUGUCUAAGUAUCAUUAAGUGAAUACAUAGCUUAAUGAGGGGAACUCAGGGAACUGAAACAUCUAAGUACCUGAAGGAAGAGAAAGAAAUUCGAUUCCGUAAGUAGCGGCGAGCGAACGCGGAUUAGCCCAAACCAAUAAAGUUUUCUUUAUUGGGGUUGCGGACAUAUCAUAACGAAGAGGUAUCGUAAUUGAAGAGGUUUGGAAAGACCCACCACAGAAGGUAAUAGUCCUGUAUGUUAAACGAGAAGACUUUAGAUAUGAUCCAGAGUACCACGGGACACGUGAAACCCUGUGGGAAGCAGGAGGGACCACCCUCCAAGGCUAAAUACUACCUAGUGACCGAUAGCGUAUAGUACCGUGAGGGAAAGGUGAAAAGAACCCCGGGAGGGGAGUGAAAUAGAACCUGAAACCCUGCACUUACAAGCUGUGGAAGCACAUUUCUUGUGUGACCGCGUACUUUUUGUAGAACGGGCCAACGAGUUACGUUAAGUAGCAAGGUUAAGCACUUAAGGUGCGGAGCCGUAGCGAAAGCGAGUUUUAACUGAGCGUUCAGUUACUUGACGUAGACCCGAAACCGGGCGACCUACCCAUGAGCAGGAUGAAGCGAAAGUAAAAUUUCGUGGAGGUCCGAACCCACGAGCGUUGAAAAGCUCGGGGAUGACUUGUGGGUAGCGGUGAAAUUCCAAUCGAGCCCGGAGAUAGCUGGUUCUCCCCGAAAUAGCUUUAGGGCUAGCCUCAAGGUGAGAGAUACGGAGGUAGAGCACUGAAUGUCCUAGGGGGUAUUGCACCUACCGAAGACUAUCAAACUCCGAAUGCCGUCAUCUUAUACUUGGGAGUCAGACUGUGGGUGAUAAGAUUCAUAGUCGAAAGGGCAACAGCCCAGAUCGUCAGCUAAGGUCCCUAAAUGUAAGUUAAGUGGUAAAGGAUGUGGGAUUGCACAGACAACCAGGAUGUUGGCUUAGAAGCAGCCACUCAUUCAAAGAGUGCGUAAUAGCUCACUGGUCGAGUGAUCCUGCGCCGAAGAUUUCCGGGGCUAAAACUUACUACCGAAGCUACGGCAUCAGUAAUGAUGGGUAGGGGAGCUUCCCAUACGGGUUGAAGCAUGACCGUAAGGACAUGUGGACAGUAUGGGAGUGAGAAUGUUGGCAUGAGUAGCGAGAUGUGGGUGAGAAUCCCACAGGCCGUAAACCCAAGGUUUCCAGGGGAAGGUUCGUCCGCCCUGGGUUAGUCGGGACCUAAGCUGAGGCCGAAAGGCGUAGGUGAUGGACAACAGGUUGAUAUUCCUGUACUACCGAUAACCGUUUGAGAGAAGGGAUGACACAGUAGGAUAAGCUAAGCACACUGUUGGUUAUGUGUGCCCAAGCAUUGAGGCAGUCAAAGUAGGCAAAUCCGCUUUGAUAAUGCUGGGAUGUGAUGGGGAGCGAAAUUUAGUAGCGAAGUAGCUGAUUUCACACUGUCAAGAAAAGUCUCUAUCGAGGUUAAAGGUACCCGUACCGCAAACCGACACAGGUGGGUGAGGAGAGUAUCCUAAGGCCAGCGAGAGAACUGUUGUUAAGGAACUCGGCAAAAUGACCCCGUAACUUAGGGAUAAGGGGUGCCACCAUCAGGUGGCCGCAGAGAAUAGGCCCAAGCGACUGUUUACCAAAAACAUAGGUUUCUGCUAAGUCGCAAGACGAUGUAUAGGAGCUGACGCCUGCCCGGUGCUGGAAGGUUAAGGGGAUCUGUUAGAGCAAUCGAAGCAGUGAACUUAAGCCCCAGUAAACGGCGGCCGUAACUAUAACGGUCCUAAGGUAGCGAAAUUCCUUGUCGGGUAAGUUCCGACCCGCACGAAAGGCGUAACGAUUUGGGCACUGUCUCAACAACAGACUCGGUGAAAUUGUAAUUCCGGUGAAGAUGCCGGAUACCUGCGACAGGACGGAAAGACCCCAUGGAGCUUUACUGUAGCUUGACAUUGGGUCUUGGUACUACAUGUACAGGAUAGGUGGGAGGCUUUGAAACCAGGACGCCAGUUUUGGCGGAGCCAUCCUUGGGAUACCACCCUUGUAGUACUGGGACUCUAACCAUAGGCCAUGAAUCUGGUCUUGGGACACUGUCAGGUGGGCAGUUUGACUGGGGCGGUCGCCUCCCAAAAGGUAACGGAGGCGCUCAAAGGUUCUCUCAGUACGGUCGGAAAUCGUACGUAGAGUGUAAAGGCAAAAGAGAGCUUGAUUGCAAGACAUACAGGUCGAGCAAGGAUGAAAAUCGGACUUAGUGAUCCGGUGGUUCUGCGUGGAAGGGCCAUCGCUCAACGGAUAAAAGCUACCCUGGGGAUAACAGGCUUAUCUCCCCCAAGAGUCCACAUCGACGGGGAGGUUUGGCACCUCGAUGUCGGCUCAUCACAUCCUGGGGCUGUAGUAGGUCCCAAGGGUUGGGCUGUUCGCCCAUUAAAGUGGUACGCGAGCUGGGUUCAGAACGUCGUGAGACAGUUCGGUCCCUAUCCGUCGCAGGCGUAGGAAAUUUGAGAAGACCUGUCCUUAGUACGAGAGGACCGGGAUGGACGUACCUCUGGUGUACCAGUUGUUCUGCCAAGGGCAUGGCUGGGUAGCUAUGUACGGAAUGGAUAAGCGCUGAAAGCAUCUAAGCGCGAAGCCAACUUCAAGAUAAGAUUUCCCACCGCAAGGGUAAGACCCCAGAAAGACUAUCUGGUUGAUAGGUCGAAGGUGUAAGUGCAGCAAUGUAUUUAGCUUAUCGAUACUAAUAGGUCGAGGACUU
rnacentral:rRNA from 1 species